UACGUAGGGUGCAAGCGUUGUCCGGAAUUAUUGGGCGUAAAGAGCUCGUAGGCGGUUUGUCGCGUCUGCUGUGAAAACUCGGGGCUUAACCCCGGGCCUGCAGUGGGUACGGGCAGACUAGAGUGCGGUAGGGGAGACUGGAAUUCCUGGUGUAGCGGUGAAAUGCGCAGAUAUCAGGAGGAACACCCGUGGCGAAAGCGGCUCUCUGGGACGGUACUGACGCUGAGACGCGAAAGCGUGGGGAGCAAACAGG
rnacentral:rRNA from 1 species